UCCUUUCAGAAACAACCUGAAUAGCCCCAAGGUCUAUUCUUUCCACUAAGCAAAGAAUGGAAAUGAGAAAUUGGGAGGAGGUGGAGAAAAGAGGCUACCAAAGAGGGAGAGAAGGAAAGAAGAGGAAAAGAUUCUCUUUUGUACUGUCCCACCACCCUUCCAUUCAAAGUAGGAAAAUAGAAAUCGGCAUCUUCUGGAGCCUCAUCCAGCUCUUGUUACCAAGAAUGAUCUUGAAGGCUUGCUGAAGAACCCAAAACGUUCUGCUACUCAUAGAAGUGUUUCUGCACUCGGAAUAGUAACCUCUCUCCUGAUUCCUGUCGCUGUCCUCGUGUGACUUUGCCUUCCACUGGGGAAUUUAUAAUUGAAGUAAAAGAGGAGUCCUUGCCCCCAAGGAGCUUAGAGUGUAAUGGAGAAGGACAGCAACUCCUCUCCUGAUUUCUGCCUGCCAAGCUUGCCUGUCUGCUGUGGAGGUCUCUCAACAGUCCACUGUAGUGACACAUCAUCUUCACCACCUCGCUAAAAGGUGACAGAACUAUGCCCUACUCUUCCUACUUCCAAGAAGGACACCUCCAUCUCUUCAGACAAAACAUUUCCCUUCCAUGGCAUGAGGCAUUAACUCCAACGCAAGAUAGCUGAGGUGCAGAAUAAAGAGUGGAAGUUCCUAAAGAAAUGGAUUUGCUGUUAGGUAAGAAUGAAAGAAGCCUCAGUAUUGAGUAAGACAGCCCGAGUGAUACCUUCCUCUUUGGGAAUGCUUCCUGGCCAUGUCUGCACAGAGCGCACCUAAUAAAAUUUAUAAUAA